AUUAACUCCAGCCGACCACUCGAGGCAUCCCGGUGCUGUGAGCGGCGCGUGCAGCACCGCUGUCACGGUGCGCCUCCGAGCCCGAACCGACCACUGGUGCCUAGUAGAGGCACUCAGUUCACAGCGCCGCAAUGCCUUGCUCUAAAGUCAGGGGCUUUCAUAGGACGGAUUUAACCCUCCUCUAUUGACUCGCGCAUUCUGCAAUGUGAAUUCAGGGAUCAGCACUUUACAGAAAUCUUGCAUUUGUAAGGAUGUGUCUUCUAAAGCAAGUCUCACGGAGGGAUGUAGAGAUGCUGCUGAACGACCGCUCUUCUUAAAGAGAGGGGGAAGGUUCACUGAAUCAUGGCAGAUAGGACAGACGGAACCCUGGGAGCAGACAACAGGACUACAGACUAGAGGAGAAGCCUGCGCUUCUGCAUGAUGCAUGGGGGAAACAGGCUACUCACGGGGUCUCCAUCAGACCAUGAAGCCAGAGUCCCGCAGAGAGGAUGAUCCGGACGUCUAGUUUCUCGGGAGACACCUGGCUCUCCUACCGCUACCCCCCGGGUGCAGCUCCCCGCCUGGCAGCCCCCGGUCCAGACCCUGUGCCCCCCAGGGCCGUCGCCCCCCGGGCGGCCCGGCGCGUGCUCCGCGGGUCAGCUGAUCCGGGCCGUCUCCCUGCCCGAGCAGGACGUCCUCCGCAGAGAGCUGCCCGUCGCCCCGGGCAAACAGAAGCGACUCGACUCCUGCAGCUACUGGAGUCUCAAAGAGGAC
ensembl:lncRNA